rnacentral:rRNA from 1 species
CUGUUUAUCAAAAACAUGGUUUCUUGUAAUUAUUUAGGAGAUCUGACCUGCCCACUGAAAAUAUUUUGAAGGGCCGCAGUAUUUUGACUGUGCAAAGGUAGCAUAAUCAUUAGUCUUUUAAUUGAAGGCUGGUAUGAAUGGUUGGAUGAGGUAAAUUCUGUUUUAUGUUAAUUGAUGUUGAAUUUAGAUUUUAAGUAAAAAUACUUAAAUGUUAUUAAGGGACGAGAAGACCCUAUAGAGUUUAAUAAAUGUAAUAAUUAAUUGAGUUAAAGUUUAAUUUUUGGUUUUUAUGUAAUUUAUUUAAUUGGGGUGAUUGGAAGAUAAAAUAAACUCUUCUUUAUAUUUAAUAAAUUAAUUAGUUGUAUGAUCCAUAUUUAAUGAUUAAAAGAUUAAAUUACCUUAGGGAUAACAGCAUAAUUCUUUUUAAGAGUUCAUAUCGAAAAAAGAGAUUGUGACCUCGAUGUUGGAUUAAGAUUAGUUAUGGGUGCAGAUGUUCAAUAACUAGGUCUGUUCGACCUUGAAAAUCUUACAUGAUCUGAGUUCAAACCG